rnacentral:rRNA from 1 species
GACGAACGCUGGCGGCGUGCUUAACACAUGCAAGUCGAGCGGUAAGGCCCUUUCGGGGGUACACGAGCGGCGAACGGGUGAGUAACACGUGGGUGACCUGCCCUCAGCUCUGGGAUAAGCCUGGGAAACUGGGUCUAAUACUGGAUAUGACUCCACGGUGCAUGUCGUGGGGUGGAAAGCCUUGUGCGGCUGAGGAUGGGCCCGCCGCCUAUCAGCUUGUUGGUGGGGUGANGGCCUACCAAGGCGACGACGGGUAGCCGGCCUGAGAGGGCGACCGGCCACACUGGGACUGAGACACGGCCCAGACUCCUACGGGAGGCAGCAGUGGGGAAUCUUGCGCAAUGGGCGAAAGCCUGACGCAGCGACGCCGCGUGAGGGAUGACGGCCU